AAAAGAUAAAACUAGGGUUUAGAAGCAUUUCACCCGGACACACAUCUACUGCCGCCGUCCAGUGCUGCUGCUCUCUGAGGCGUCUUCAGGAGAAGUAAGAGGAAGCGGACGAUAAAACGCAAAAAUGAUGUGUGUAGACUAUUGCUGUUUUCAGUAGCCUCAAUGGUGACAUCCCCUCCAUCCGGGCUCUAUAUGUAUUCCUUUCUUCUUACAAGCAGAUUAGAAGUGCAAUACUAAUGUUUUUGCUUUGCUGUUGCUUGUAAUACGAUGUUGUUUGGUUUUGUGGUGAUUAUGUUGUAUCAGCUAGACAUUGGAAAAUAAAUAAAAAAUUAGAGUUUAAUCCAUA